AUUGAACGCUGGCGGCAGGCCUAACACAUGCAAGUCGACCGAGUGGCGGACGGGUUAGUAAUGUCUUGGAAACUGCCUGAUGGAGGGGGAUAACUACUGGAAACGUUCGCUACUACCGCAUACCCUCCGAUGUUCCCAGAUGGGAUUAGAUUGUUGGUGGGGUACCGGCGCACCAAGGCGACGAUCCCUAGCUGGUCUGAGAGGAUGACCAGCCACAUGGGAACGGAGACACGGGCCAGACUCCUACGGGAGGCAGCAGUGGGGAAUAUUGCACAAUGGGCGCAAGCCUGAUGCAGCCAUGCCGCGUGGAUGAAGAAGGCCUUCGGGUGGUAAAGUACUUUCAGCGGGGAGGCGGUACCCGAAGAAGAAGCACCGGCUAACUCCGUGCCAGCAGCCGCGGUAAUUC
rnacentral:rRNA from 1 species